GACGAACGCUGGCGGCGUGCUUAACACAUGCAAGUCGAACGGAAAGGCCCUGCUUGCAGGGUACUCGAGUGGCGAACGGGUGAGUAACACGUGGGUGAUCUGCCCUGCACUUCGGGAUAAGCCUGGGAAACUGGGUCUAAUACCGGAUAGGAGCCAUUUUUAGUGUGAUGGUUGGAAAGUUUUUUUCGGUGUAGGAUGAGCUCGCGGCCUAUCAGCUUGUUGGUGGGGUAAUGGCCUACCAAGGCGGCGACGGGUAGCCGGCCUGAGAGGGUGGACGGCCACAUUGGGACUGAGAUACGGCCCAGACUCCUACGGGAGGCAGCGGUGGGGAAUAUUGCACAAUGGGCGCAAGCCUGAUGCAGCGACGCCGCGUGGGGGAUGACGGCCUUCGGGUUGUAAACUCCUUUCGCUAGGGACGAAGCUUUUUGUGACGGUACCUAGAUAAGAAGCACCGGCUAACUACGUG
rnacentral:rRNA from 1 species